UGCAUUCACUAGUGUAAGUCACUCUGGAUAAGAGCGUCUGCUAAAUGUAAGAUG
rfam:Salmo salar isolate Sally breed double haploid chromosome ssa06, whole genome shotgun sequence.